GGCCCGGUGGCGGAAGCGACAACGCAAGAACGGUGCAUCGUUCUUUAUCCUGGUUCAAAUCCAGGCCGGGCCUCCA
rnacentral:tRNA from 1 species